GUUGAACGCUGGCGGCAUGCCUAACACAUGCAAGUCGAACGAGCGGCGGACGGGUGAGUAAUGUAUGGGGACUGCCCGAAAGAGGGGGAUAACUACUGGAAACGGUAGCUAAUACCGCAUACUAUCGGAUAACCCAUAUGGGAUUAGCUCGUCGGUGAGGUAAUGGCUCACCUAGGCGACGAUCCCUAGCUGGUCGGAGAGGAUGAUCAGCCACACGGGGACGGAGACAGGGCCCAGACUCCUACGGAGGCAGCAGUGGGGAAUAUUGCACAAUGGGCGCAAGCCUGAGGCAGCCAUGCCGCGUGUAGGAAGAAGGCCCUAGGGUUGUAAAGUACGUUCAGUCGGGAUGCGUUACCGACAGAAGAAGCACCGGCUAACUCCGUGCCAGCCGCCGCGGUAAUUC
rnacentral:rRNA from 1 species